GUUUUAAUAAUUUAACAAAAAUAUUGGUCUUGUAAAUCAAAAAUAAGGAACGACCUUUUAAAACU
rnacentral:tRNA from 1 species